UACACACCGCCCGUCACACCAUGGGAGUGGGUUGCAAAAGAAGUAGGUAGCUUAACCUUCGGGAGGGCGCUUACCACUUUGUGAUUCAUGACUGGGGUGAAGUCGUAACAAGGUAACCGUAGGGGAACCUGCGGUUGGAUCACCUCCUUA
rnacentral:rRNA from 3 species